rnacentral:tRNA from 1 species
GGCGCGAUGCCAGAGUGGCCUAAUGGGGCGGAUUGCAAAUCCGUUUUUCUCCGGUUCAAAUCCGGAUCGCGCCUCCA